GGGCGCGUAGCCUAGCGGAUAUGGCGGCAGCCUCCUAAGCUGCAAUUCGAGGGUUCAAAUCCCUUCGCGCCCG
rnacentral:tRNA from 1 species